UCAUACAAUCUGCCCGUUGGUGCUCGCACGGCCGGUCGGCUGUGCAGUUAAACGGGAAGCAGGAAGAGUCGUCGCCACGCGACAGGCGACACCCCGGCCUGCGCUGCCCCCGCAACGGUCAGCAGACGAAGCCGCGCACGCGCGGUCUCACUGUGGUUCACGGCCACUGGCUCUCGAGAGCUGGGAAGGCCUCCACAGCUGUUCUGUCAGCCCGGAUACCGGCCAACAGGGGGGCGUGCAC
rnacentral:ncRNA from 2 species